UGUCCAGUAGCACCUUAGAGACCAACUAAGUUUGUUCUUGGUAUAAGCUUUCAUGUGCAUGCACACUUCUUCAGAUACACACCUAGUUGUUCUCUAAGGUGCUACUGGACA